rnacentral:piRNA from 1 species
UGNGUAGAAGAGCCUCGAUACUGACUCCA